GUGCUCGCUUUGGCAGCACAUAUACUAAAAUUGGAACGACACAGAGAAGAUUAGCAUGGCCCCUGCACAAGGAUGACAUGCAAAUUCGUGAAGUGUUCCAUAUUUUU
ensembl:snRNA U6 U6 spliceosomal RNA